GUCGGCGUAGCUUAGUCCGGCCCAAAGCAGCGGUCUCCAAAACCGCGAUCGUCAGUUCGAAUCUGACCUGCCGCAACCA
rnacentral:tRNA from 1 species